rnacentral:misc_RNA from 1 species
AAGUCGUAACAAGGUCUCCGUAGGUGAACCUGCGGAGGGAUCAUUACACAACAAAAUAUGAAGGCCUGGCUUCGCGGCCGGCUGAAAUAUUUUUUCACCCAUGUCUUUUGCGCACUUGUUGUUUCCUGGGCGGGUUCGCCAGCCACCAGGACCAAACCAUAAACCUUUUUUUUAUGCAGUUACCAUCAGCGUCAGUAAAAACAAUGUAAUUAAUUACAACUUUCAACAACGGAUCUCUUGGUUCUG